UCAAGUUAAACCUUAGAGGUUAUAUUAUUUACAGUAAUAUAUAGUUUGUGCAAUUCAUUCUGACUUGAU
rnacentral:tRNA from 1 species